GACGAACGCUGGCGGCGUGCUUAACACAUGCAAGUCGAACGCUGAAGCUCAGCUUGCUGGGUGGAUGAGUGGCGAACGGGUGAGUAACACGUGAGUAACCUGCCCUCUUCUUUGGGAUAACGCCCGGAAACGGGUGCUAAUACUGGAUAUUCACUGAUUCUCGCAUGGGGGUUGGUGGAAAGGUUUUUUCUGGUGGGGUAUGGGCUCGCGGCCUAUCAGCUUGUUGGUGGGGUGGUGGCCUACCAAGGCUUUGACGGGUAGCCGGCCUGAGAGGGUGACCGGUCACAUUGGGACUGGGAUACGGCCCAGACUCAUACGGGAGGCAGCAGUGGGGAAUAUUGCACAAUGGGCGAAAGCCUGAUGCAGCGACGGCGCGUGAGGGAUGGAGGCCUUCGGGUUGGAAACCUCUUUCGCUCAUGGUCAAGCCGCAGCUUUGGGUUGUGGUGAGGGUAGUGGGUAAAGAAGCGCCGGCUAACUACGUG
rnacentral:rRNA from 1 species